AUUGAACGCUGGCGGCAUGCUUUACACAUGCAAGUCGAACGGCAGCGCGGGCUUCGGCCUGGCGGCGCGUGGCGAACGGGUGAGUAAUACAUCGGAACGUGCCCCGUAGUGGGGGAUAGCUCGGCGAAAGCCGGAUUAAUACCGCAUACGACCUGAGGGUGAAAGCGGGGGAUCUUCGGACCUCGCGCUAUUGGAGCGGCCGAUGGCAGAUUAGCUAGUUGGUGGGGUAAAGGCCUACCAAGGCGACGAUCUGUAGCUGGUCUGAGAGGACGACCAGCCACACUGGGACUGAGACACGGCCCAGACUCCUACGGGAGGCAGCAGUGGGGAAUUUUGGACAAUGGGCGAAAGCCUGAUCCAGCAAUGCCGCGUGUGUGAUGAAGGCCUUCGGGUUGUAAAGCACUUUUGGCGGGAACGAAAAGGACUGUGCCAAUACCACGGUUCGAUGACGGUACCCGCAGAAUAAGCACCGGCUAACUACGUG
rnacentral:rRNA from 1 species